GAUGAAGAACGUAGCGAAAUGCGAUAAGUAGUGUGAAUUGCAGAAUUCAGUGAAUCAUCGAAUCUUUGAACGCACAUUGCGCCCGCCAGUAUUCUGGCGGGCAUGCCUGUUCGAGCGUCAUUUCAACCAUCAAGCCCCAGGCUUGUGUUGGAGCCCUGCGGCUGCCGCAGCCUCCCAAAACCAGUGGCGGGCUCGCUAUCACACCGAGUGCAGUAGUUUACUCUUCGCUCAGGGCGUGUGGCGGGUGCUAGCCGUGAAACCCCCAACUUCUCAAGGUUGACCUCGGAUCAGGUAGGAAUACCCGCUGAACUUAAGCAUAUCAAUAAGCGGAGGA
rnacentral:misc_RNA from 1 species